rnacentral:SRP_RNA from 1 species
GGAGGAGGAGGGCUUCCUGCCGGAGACGCCGGCGUCUCCGUCCUCACCGUCGCAACCCGCCAAGGCGAGGGGCAGCAGACACGCCCAGACCAUGCGCUCCGAGGCCGAGCGGGCACGAGGCGAG